rnacentral:rRNA from 1 species
AACGAACGCUGACGGCGUGCCUAACACAUGCAAGUCGAACGAGAAAGUCCCGGCUUGCCGGGAUGAGUAGAGUGGCGCACGGGUGAGUAACGCGUGGGUAAUCUGCCUUUAAGUUUGGGAUAACACUGCGAAAGCGGUGCUAAUACCGAAUAAGCUCACAGUUUGAGAUGUCUGUGAGAAAAGGUGGCCUCUGACAUAAGCUACCACUUAAAGAUGAGCCCGCGUACCAUUAGCUAGUUGGUGGGGUAAUGGCCUACCAAGGCUACGAUGGUUAGCUGGCCUGAGAGGGCGGCCAGCCACACUGGAACUGAGACACGGUCCAGACUCCUACGGGUGGCUG